AUUGAACGCUGGCGGCAGGCCUAACACAUGCAAGUCGAACGGUAACAGGAAGCAGCUUGCUGCUUUGCUGACGAGUGGCGGACGGGUGAGUAAUGUCUGGGAAACUGCCUGAUGGAGGGGGGUAACUACUGGAAACGGUAGCUAAUACAGCAUAACGUCGCAAGACCAAAGAGGAGGACCUUAGGGCCUCUUGCCAUCGGAUGUGCCCAGAUGGGAUUAGCUAGUAGGUGGGGUAACGGCUCACCUAGGCGACGAUCCCUAGCUGGUCUGAGAGGAUGACCAGCCACACUGGAACUGAGACACGGUCCAGACUCCUACGGGAGGCAGCAGUGGGGAAUAUUGCACAAUGGGCGCAAGCCUGAUGCAGCCAUGCCGCGUGUAUGAAGAAGGCCUUCGGGUUGUAAAGUACUUUCAGCGGGGAGGAAGGGAGUAAAGUUAAUACCUUGGCUCAUUGACGUUACCCGCAGAAGAAGCACCGGCUAACUCCGUG
rnacentral:rRNA from 1 species